rnacentral:ribozyme from 15 species
UUUUUUUUUUUUUUUUUUUUUUUUUUUUUUUUUCCAAAAAAAAAAAAAAAAAAAAAAAGGCGCCAUCUUCUUCGUCA